rnacentral:misc_RNA from 1 species
GAUGAAGAACGUAGCGAAAUGCGAUACUUGGUGUGAAUUGCAGAAUCCCGUGAACCAUCGAGUCUUUGAACGCAAGUUGCGCCCGAAGCCAUUAGGCCGAGGGCACGCCUGCCUGGGCGUCACACGUCGUUGCCCCCCCAUCUACUCCUUCGGGAUUGCGGGGGGCGGAUGAUGGCCUCCCGUGCGCCUCGUCGCGCGGUUGGCCUAAAUGCCAAGUCCUCGGCGACGCACGCCACGACAAUCGGUGGUUGCGAAACCUCGGUUGCCUGUCGUGUGCGGUCGUCGCGCAUCGAGGGCUCGAAAAAAUUGCCGGGCUCCGGCUCGGCUUUCAACGCGACCCCAGGUCAGGCGGGGUUACCUGCUGAAUUUAAGCAUAUCAAUAAGCGGAGGA